rnacentral:lncRNA from 1 species
UAAACGAUUUUAAAGACCUUCCGAGAUAAAGAAGACCCCCUAAAUCAUUUGCUAGGGAAAAUCAUGCAUAAUGAAGGUUGGUCAGAAGGAAACCCAUUGCAUACAAUACAAUCAUAAAAAGAGAGUGGUGGGCAUACAGGAACCUUUUAACAAGAACUGUUCGAGAUCGACUCAUCGAUACUGGUUAUCGUGCGAUAAGACCAUUUCGGAGACCUUUGCUUACGAACAGACACACAGUUUUCCGUAUUCAAUGUAGUGCAGAGCUCGCUAAAGUUGGAAAU